AUUGAACGCUGGCGGCAGGCUUAACACAUGCAAGUCGAGCGGAGCGAGGGUGCUUGCACCUUAGCUUAGCGGCGGACGGGUGAGUAAUGCUUAGGAAUCUGCCUAUUAGUGGGGGACAACAUUCCGAAAGGAAUGCUAAUACCGCAUACGCCCUACGGGGGAAAGCAGGGGAUCUUCGGACCUUGCGCUCAUAGAUGAGCCUAAGUCGGAUUAGCUAGUUGGUGGGGUAAAGGCCUACCAAGGCGACGAUCUGUAGCGGGGCUGAGAGGAUGAUCCGCCACACUGGGACUGAGACACGGCCCAGACUCCUACGGGAGGCAGCAGUGGGGAAUAUUGGACAAUGGGCGGAAGCCUGAUCCAGCCAUGCCGCGUGUGUGAAGAAGGCCUUUUGGUUGUAAAGCACUUUAAGCGAGGAGGAGGCUACUUAGAUUAAUACUCUGGGAUAGUGGACGUUACUCGCAGAAUAAGCACCGGCUAACUCUGUGCCAGCCGCCGCCGUAAAAC
rnacentral:rRNA from 1 species